AUAUCUCUGCUCACAGUAAGAUGUGUGUGUGUCGAUUGGACGAUCGCACAAACCGAGUGAGUGAAUGACUCACUCCUAUCCGUUUAGUGCUGCAUACAGAGAGAAGUGUUUCAUCUACUGGCUUUGUGACAGGUCCAACCAUGUGCCACAGCUCAUCAGUCCUUGCGCCGUGUAUGAUGAUCUUCCUCUCUGGGGCUGUGAGAGCCGGAGAUGCACCGGGGAUGCGAUGGGACUAACAAUUCUCCAGCUGUGAUCCAUGGAGAGUCUUUGGCCACUCAAACUAUCUUUCUCAACAAACAGGUCUGACUGAAUGCCUCAUACCAGCACAGCACAAUGAGGCCCAAUCCAGGAGGAUCUAAUCAGUGGCAGCACAGCCAGAUGUCUCCCAGAGUAGAGUCCAAAGAAGGCUAUACAUUGAUUGUGUAUGCUGGGUAUAUCCUUGUACAUUACAUCAGGGCCAAAUAAAAACCAUUAGCAAACUGCCUUUACACAGACGUCGUUAUCUUGAGGAUAUAGUGUUUUUUUUAUUAAUUCAUUUUUUUCCACAAGGACUUUGAAUUACUCUUAUGAUAUGCUUGUUAAAAGUGCGAGCUAAUUAAUCUGGUGUCCAGUGCAAUUUUGUCCAAAUGGAUAAAGAGCCCAGUUCUCCAUCAGCCGUGAACGCUUUCUGUAAUCUUGCAUUUCAUUGCAUUUCCCCCAAGGCAUCUAGCACCUAGCCUGUCCCUCUCUUUUCAUUACCCGUCUUUUGAUCGCACUUGUGCAGAAAAUAGGCUUUUUCGUUGACAGUGUCACAAAGUGUUGUCUUUAAUACAUGGUCAUGUGCCAUGAUAUAUUCUUUUCCAUUGUGAUUUUUCACACUCACUUACAUGAGCUUGAAUGAACCAUUAUGGAACAAUAUUAUGGCAAAUUGUGUUCCUUGUGCCAUAGCGCACUAAAUGUCUGUGUCAACAGAAAAGAAAUGACACUAUAAAGAUAUCUAAUAGCAUUUCCUGAUUCACUGUGAAUUAAUGCAUAGCACAUGUAGGCAGCCGAAACGAGCCGUUCCAGAAUAUUCCACAUGGAUGCAUGUAUAUGUUUUCACAUUCUCAACUGUUUCAUGGUGGAGACUGCUUUGAUGGCUACAGGUGUUGAAAUCGGUUGAUUAUUUAAAGUUGACUGUGUGAUGGUGUGACUGGUAGGGGUGGAAAGAGCUGUGAGACCCGUGGAACAUAUCCCUCUUUACACUGGUUUAAAGAGGGAAAAUUAUGAAUAAAGCUUACAACCACAGAUCGUAUAUCAACAUUAUAAUGACUACAUAGUUGCAGCACAUGUCAAGCUUUUCUUGCUUUUCAUACACAAGCAGUGCAUUCAAACUCACACACACAAGUGUUUGCCUUGAUAAAGAACAACCAUACCUUGACGUGCCAACUUAUGUUAACUAACUUUUAACUGAGGAAUUCUGUUUAUUAUAUUGGGAUUGUGCUUAUUGGUCACUGCCUAAUGAUUCAGUUGAUUUUAAUAAAUAUGUCUAUAUUGGCUAUCGUUGGUUAAGUGAACGCUUAAGUCAUAUACGUACAGUAUUAUAUGAUCUAUUUUUCAGAGCCAUUAUGGGAUAUGAUUGUUGGAUUCAUAGAUUUAGUAGUCUUUUUCAAUUGCUUAUACAUAUUUUUGACUCUUCUGGGAGUUUUUAGACUAGUCGACUAGUCGGUUACAAAAUUUCCAUUUAAAGAUUAAAGAUAUUAGUCAUGGUUGCAUUCCUAGUUGCCACCCGUCAUAAAUCAGAAAAAUAGAAGACAGAGACGCAGUGUGUAGCUAAUGCUGCCUCACAAAAUUAUGUCUGAGGAGAUGACAGAUGACAGCUCAAUACUGUACCUGUACCCAAAAAAAGUUAACUUGAAAGUUCUCAAAGUUCUUUUUGUACCUUUUGUACAGUCAGUUAUAGUUACUAACACUCUCCAUCUCCCUAAGCUCAUAUUUUGAAUAUGAUUCACUGGCCACUAAAAGAGAAGAAUAAGGAAAAAAAGUUAAAAAGAAAUUGGACUGCUAGCACAACGCCCCCCCUCCCCCAAAAAUAAAUAAAUAAAUAAAUAAAUAAAUAAAAAAUCUAUAGCUCUUGUGAUGGUGUCAUUGUUAUUCUUUACUAGUGACAGGCUUUUCCAGGUUCAGUCAAACUAUCAAGAGUUCUUGUGUUGAAGGAUAAUCUAUCAGAACUAAUAGUAUUAAUCAGCCAGCUAAUUUCAGCACUUCAUUUGCAAGAUACUUGAGAUGGUGUGCAGAAAGCUGGCAUCCUAACACACACAACUGAAGGGCAUUUAUGUGUGCUUAUCACUGGCGGUAGAGAGGCAGCAAUGUAAUGAAAAGUGUGUGUAAAGAAGAGACAGGCGGCUUUCAUCCGAAGGCUCGGUGACCUCCACAGCUGUCACACACACUCCAGACUCAUUUCCAGCUCUGCUGCGAGAGCAGUGCCAUCACCCUGCAAUUACAGCCGAGGAAAACAGAGUUGAUUUCUGCGGUCAUCUGUUGAUGCCCGGCCACUUUAGAUUACAUAUGAACACAACGGAUGUGUAUGUAACUCACUCAUGCAAGCAAACAUACACACAUCCUCUCUGUGUAAUUCUGCUGUGAGGAUUUGUUUGUGCCAAAACCUGAAAUGAAGCCUAAUAUAUUUUCUUAUCGCAGCUCAGCAACAUGUAAUAAAUAAACAGAAAAAAAUAAAAAUAAAAAAAAUAAAAACCUUAAGUAAAUUAGUCUUCCUUUAUUCAUUCUGCAUAUAUCUAAAAUGCAUUUCUGUUCUCUCUCAGCAUUUCUAGUCAUUUGCUGCCCUUACAUUGCUGGUACCUGGCUGACCCUUAUGAAAAAUGUGCAUAUAAAUAACCAUAACUCAGAUUGUGCUGUUCUGUAGGCAGAGAUAUUGAGCGAAAUAAUCUCAUUUAGCAUCUGGCACGCACUUAGACUAUAUAUGAUAGACAUCAAAGCCCAAGAAGAGAGCUUGAAGUCACUCCAC
ensembl:lncRNA